GUCUACAGCCAUGCCAUCCUGAACAUGCCCGAUCUCAUCUGAUCUCGGAAGCUAAGUACGGUCGGGCCUGGUAAGUACUUGGAUGGAAGACCACCUAGGAAUACCAGGUGCUGUAGGCA
rnacentral:rRNA from 1 species